GUAUUCAUUUCCUUAGCAACUUCAACCAAUAGAGAAAGAAAUGAUAUUACAAAUGCUUGCCAUCAGGGUAGGACCAAAAAACAUUGUAUCAAGGACAUAAAUCUCAAGGUACUAAAUAAAAAAAAAUACAUUCUUGUGUCAUAUAAUGUGAAUUUUUGCUUGAGAAUGCACUAGGCACCUAGAUGUGGAAGGUAAAUAGAAAAUGAAAUAACAAGAUCCUAUCAAGUCUAAUAGAAUCUUAAAUAAAUUUUAAUUAAUCCUUAAAAAUAUUAAUCAAUUUUUUAUUAAUUCAAAAGAAAAUUUUCAAAAUUUUCAAAAAAAUACAAAAAAUUAAUAAAUUAAUCUAAAAAAAUAAACAUAUAAAAAACUUUAAAAUAUAUUAAAAAUAAAAAUCUGAAUAAAAUUUAAAUGAAUCUUAAACCAAAUUCUAAUAAAAUUUUAAUAAAACUUUAAUCAAAUCCUAAUCAAAUCCUAAUUAAAUCCUAAAUCCUAAUCAAACUCUAAUAAUAAAUCCUAAAUUUUAAUCAAAUUCUAAUAAAAUCCUAACUAAAUUUUAAUUAAAUUUUAAUGAAAUCCUAACCAAUUCUUAAUAAUAUUCUAAUAAAAUUCUAAAUCAAAUCCUAAUCAAAUCUUAAUUAAAUCUUGAUAAAAUAAUAAUUAAAUUUUAAUCAAAUCUAAAUCUAAUCUUAGACUAAAUCCUAAUCAAAUUUUAAAUCUUAAUCAAAUUUUAUACAAAUCUUAAAAAAUCUCAAGAAAAUCUUAAGUAAAUCUCAAUCAAUUAUUCUAGCUAUU
rnacentral:lncRNA from 1 species